GUGGGGAAUCUUCCGCAAUGGACGAAAGUCUGACGGAGCAACGCCGCGUGAACGAUGACGGCCUUCGGGUUGUAAAGUUCUGUUAUACGGGACGAAUGGUACGACGGUCAAUACCCGUCGUAAGUGACGGUACCGUAAGAGAAAGCCACGGCUAACUACGUGCCAGCAGCCGCGGUAAUACGUAGGUGGCAAGCGUUGUCCGGAAUUAUUGGGCGUAAAGGGCGCGCAGGCGGCGUCGUAAGUAGGUCUUAAAAGUGCGGGGCUUAACCCCGUGAUGGGAUUGAAACUGCCGGACUGGAGUGUCGGAGAGGAAAGCAGAAUUCCUAGUGUAGCGGUGAAAUGCGUAGAUAUUAGGAGGAAUACCAGUGGCGAAAGCGGCUUUCUGGACGACAACUGACGCUGAGGCGCGAAAGCCAGGGGAGCAAACGGGAUUAGAAACCCCAGUAGUCC
rnacentral:rRNA from 1 species